GGGGGGGGGGGGCUAGGAGGAGUUGGCCGUCCAGCUGCGGUCUGGAGUGUGGGGCCUCCCUGCUGCUACGGAGUCGGGGUGGUCUGCCUCUCCCCACCGCAGGGAAAAGGGUAACACCACCUGGGUCUGGUUGCAGUUCCCCCCUCCAGGGGCAAGGGUACCUAGACCCGGUUCGUAGAGUACGCUUGGGGAGUGUGAUCGUGUGUACAGUGUCUCUUUAUGUCUGUCUCCAUGUUGGUUGAGUGUGGAGUAAGUGCAUAUGAGAGCAUGAGGGUGGGAAUGGAUGUUUGUGUCUGUGUGUGACUGUAUGUCUGUGUCUAUAUGUCAGGUUGGGUAUCAGACGCCACCUCUCUGGGGACAUGCAUGCUGAUCCACACAGGUGUACACACGGGUAUUCACAGACGCGGACUACAGCUUUCUUGGCUGCUGCCUCAAAGCACAUUGUACGCUGUCUAUCUUGCGUGCUGCACAAUAUCGUUUAUUAUUUAGUAUCUACUGAUAUCUACUGCUAGCUAGUUUAUUGUGAUGGUGCUGUGUUUUUUUUAUUAUGUUGCUCUUUGUUGUUUGCUUUCUCUUCUGUUUUUUUUCUCCAUACAGGUGACCCAGGUGUUUUGUUUUUUUGUUUGUUUUUCUUUCUUUCUUCCCCCCCUUCUCACCGUCUCUUCUCCCCUUUGGUUUUCUUUCUCUCCCUCUCUUUCUUUCAUUCUCUCUCCCUGUCCUGUCCCCCAGUCAUGUCUGUCCCGUUUGUAGCAACUGAAAAUAAAAUAAAUUCAUAAUUAUAAUAAAGGUCAAUGAAAUGCCAUGCAAGGCCAUGAUGAUCCACUUGGUAAAAUAAAUCCGCUUGGCAUCUUUCUUGGCCUUAAGACAACAAUUCUGAUGGCUAAAGAUCCAAACGGGACACAAAAAAGAAAAAAAAAAGAAAAAAAGAAAAUGAAGUUUAGUUUCCAGAUUUUUUUCUUGCUGUGUCUCAUUAUGCCAGCAGGUGGCAGUACGUUAGUCGAGUCGUCUGUGUUGCUGCUCCGUCCACGCGCAGAAUCAUGUCAGGAAAAGUCGGGAGAAAGCGCCAGAGUCCAAUUUGGGAUUACUUUGAAUAUGACUGUGUUUUGGAUGAAGCAAGUGUCUUGUAGUGGAAAGAGACAAAUUAUGAGGGACAUUUAUAAAGGGAAAAAAAUCCCACAAACCUUAAAGUGCACUUGAAAAGCUCACACAAGAAGGCUAACCUAGCUUACCUUGAGAAGGUAAGGGAGCACACUCAACCCUCAUCCCCAGAAACAGACGCUAACCCCAGGCAAGGCAGCGUGAUGCAUCCCGAGACAACAGGACGGGGACAUCUACAUAACUGUUGAGACAGGAGAGGAGCAGAGGGGAUGCUGGGAUCAGCUGAGACCGGAGCUGUCCAGACUACGG
ensembl:lncRNA